AUUGAACGCUGGCGGCAGGCUUAACACAUGCAAGUCGAGCGGAGAUGAGGUGCUUGCACCUUAUCUUAGCGGCGGACGGGUGAGUAAUGCUUAGGAAUCUGCCUAUUAGUGGGGGACAACAUUCCGAAAGGAAUGCUAAUACCGCAUACGUCCUACGGGAGAAAGCAGGGGAUCUUCGGACCUUGCGCUAAUAGAUGAGCCUAAGUCGGAUUAGCUAGUUGGUGGGGUAAAGGCCUACCAAGGCGACGAUCUGUAGCGGGUCUGAGAGGAUGCUCCGCCACACUGGGACUGAGACACGGCCCAGACUCCUACGGGAGGCAGCAGUGGGGAAUAUUGGACAAUGGGGGAACCCUGAUCCAGCCAUGCCGCGUGUGUGAAGAAGGCCUUAUGGUUGUAAAGCACUUUAAGCGAGGAGGAGGCUACUGAGACUAAUACUCUUGGAUAGUGGACGUUACUCGCAGAAUAAGCACCGGCUAACUCUGUGCCAGCAGCCGCCGUAA
rnacentral:rRNA from 1 species